CGGUAAACAAAGGGAAGCGAGCGUGUGAACGUAAGCAAAUCUCAAAAAUAACGUCUCAGUUCGGAUUGUAGUCUGCAACUCGACUACAUGAAGCUGGAAUCGCUAGUAAUCGCGAAUCAGCAUGUCGCGGUGAAUACGUUCCCGGGUCUUGUACACACCGCCCGUCACACCAUGGGAGUUGGUAACGCCCGAAGCCAGUGACCCAACCGGAAACGGAGGGAGCUGUCGAAGGUGGGACCGAUAACUGGGGUGAAGUCGUAACAAGGUAUC
rnacentral:rRNA from 1 species